rnacentral:sRNA from 1 species
UAGAAUUUUCAGUGAAGGUAUCUGUCAGUAUUUAUGGCAGCUGGGUGCUUCUUGCCCUUCUUUACGCAGUUCAGGGAUUCCAAAUCUGUCAACUGUUGUGAGUAUGAAAGAGCCCUCAUUAUGGGUGAGAGGGAUGCUUACUUUAACUUCAAAGGAGGGUAUAAUUUCUCUUAAAAAAGGAAACAUUGUACUUACCGGCCUACCUAGUGCAUAGUACUGGUUGAGUGAGUGAACUAGGUUUUUGUUGAUUGUAGUAGUGGUGGUUUUGUUGGUUUUGUUGUGUUUUUCUGCUUUUUGGUUGAGCGUGUAAAUGAAGGCCUGAGGUGAUUUAAUUAUUUGCAAAUUCAGUAAGUAAAAUAUUUUCAAAAAGAAAAUGUUACAGAAAUCUGAAGAAAGGCUGAAAAUGGCAGUGAAGGUAUUUGUUAGAUAAUAAUUGGGAAGAAUUUCCUGGCAGAAUAGGUUAUUCAAACAUUUUCUAAGGUUCCAAAUAUGGUUGUAUAAUCUCCUUCCAUAGCGGUCUUUAAAAGAAAGAUUAUUUCUUUCCUUGAAAUAUUUUAAAGGUGAGUCUUUCUGUAGCACAUGGUCUAGUUUGUAGCAUUCUGUAAUCGUGUCAGAUUCAAAAAGUGAGAUUAACUUUUGUAUUUAUUUGCAGAAGGAUAGCUAAUCAUUCUCAAUGAGAAUAUUUACAAUAGUGUAGGAUGGACGGAUUGUUUAACCACUGUACCACUUAUAAACUAUUAAUCUUUAUUUGGGAUUAAAAAUAUCCUAGCAGGUUUUUUUUUUUUUUUUUUUUUUGGAGACAAUAUCUCACUCUUUCACCCAGGCUGGAGUACAGUGACAUGAUCACAGCUCACUGUAGCCUUGACUUCUGAGACUCAAGCAAUCCUCUCACUUCAACCUCCUUAGUAACUGGGACUACAAAUGCAUGCCCCUGUACCCAGCUAGAAUAAUAAUAGGAAAUAAUUUAUUCUCUCAUCUUUUUUUUUUUUAAUAGAAAGCUGUUAAUCUUUACUUGGAAUUAAGAAUUUGCUACUCAGUAUUUUUUUUUUUUUUUUUUUUUUUUUUUUUUUUUUUUUUUUUUUUGAGAUGGAGUCUCGCCCUGUCACCCAGGCUGGAGUGCAGUGGUGUGAUCUCAGCUCACUGCAACCUCUGCCUCCUGGGUUCAAGUGAUCCUCCUGCUUCAGCCUCCCGAGUAGCUGGAAUUAUAGGUGUCUGCCACCAUGUCUGGCUAAUUUUUUGUAUUUUUAGUAGAGAUGGGAUUUCACCAUGUUGGCCAGGCUGAUCUCGAAUUCCUGACCUCAAGUGAUCUGCCCACCUCGGCCUCCCAAAGUGCUGGGAUUACAGGCAUGAGCCACCAUCCCCGGCCUGCUAGUCGGUAUUUUAAUAGAAGUUUGGUAAUUGUAUUUCUUGUUUUAAAAAAACACUAAUUAUUAGAAAUGGAUUGUGUCUGUAAGUAUAUGUAUAUACAUAAAUAUGCCACAUUUUAUAAUUUCUUGUCAAAAAUUAUCCAAAUUCUAGGAAUUAUAUGUAAUGAAAGGAGCACAGUAAAAAAGCCGUUCAUUAGAUUCUUUAGGGAUUCUCAUUUUUUAAUUGAAAAAAGACAUUUGUUUAAUUGAAAGUUGUUGACAUUGAUCAUAUUAAUACAGAAAAUGUUAAGAGUGGUUAUAUAUACUUAGGGAUUCUCAUUUUUUAAUUGAAAAAAUCUUAUUUGUUUAAUUGAAAGUGGUUGACAUUGAUCAUAUUAAUACAAUAAAUGUUAAGAGUGAUUAUAUAUAAUAGUAAUGUGUGCUUUUAAAACUAAACAUUUCAAAAUUAAAAGAAGAAAGAUUUCUUGUGAAUUUUUUGUUAGAUUUAGUUUUUCCUUUUUAUUCCAAGGAAUACAUACAUACAAAUUAAAUUAUUGCCAUAAAUGAAGAAAUUGUGAUUUAUGUACCAUUUGUAUAAUUUUGUUACUUACCUUUAGGCAUUACUAUCACAUUAACUUGGGAAGAUAGAAAUGACUAGAGUAAAUUUUUUCUUUUAUAAUAUUUGUUUAGUUGUGUGAUUUUUUGUUUGUUUGUUUGUUUGUUUUUUAAUCCUGUAGUUUAAGAAUGAUGUUUAAAAAACACUUUGGUUUCUCUCUCAGCCUCUGGAAUUGCUUUGGCACUCAUUAGAUGAAUGGCUAGUUUUAAUAGCCACAGAAUUGAUGAAAAACAAAAGAGACUCAACAGAGAUCACUUCUAUUUUACUGAAACAAAAAGGCCAAGAUCAAGAUGCUGCUUCCAUUCCUCCAUUUGAACCUCCAGGACCUGGGAGCUAUGAAAAUCUGUCCACUGGCACAAGGGAAUCUAAACCAGAUGCCCUUGCAGGGAGACAGGAAGCCAGUGCAGAUUGUCAGGAUGUUAUUUCUAUGACAGCUAACCGGCUAAGUGCUGUCAUUCAAGCUUUUUACAUGUGCUGUUCUUGUCAGAUGCCUCCAGGAAUGACUUCACCUCGUUUCAUUGAAUUUGUCUGCAAACAUGAUGAAGUUUUAAAAUGCUUUGUUAAUAGAAAUCCCAAAAUUAUAUUUGACCACUUUCACUUUCUCCUUGAAUGUCCUGAGUUGAUGUCAAGAUUCAUGCAUAUCAUAAAAGCACAGCCUUUUAAAGAUCGCUGUGAAUGGUUCUAUGAACAUUUGCAUUCAGGACAGCCAGAUUCAGACAUGGUGCACAGGCCAGUGAAUGAAAAUGAUAUCCUGCUGGUUCAUAGAGAUUCUAUUUUUAGGAGUAGCUGUGAAGUUGUGUCAAAAGCAAAUUGUGCAAAGCUAAAGCAAGGGAUUGCUGUACGGUUCCAUGGAGAAGAAGGCAUGGGUCAAGGUGUUGUGCGUGAGUGGUUUGAUAUUCUGUCCAAUGAGAUAGUCAAUCCUGAUUAUGCAUUGUUUACCCAGUCAGCUGAUGGAACAACUUUUCAGCCUAAUAGCAACUCUUACGUAAAUCCUGAUCACUUGAACUAUUUUCGGUUUGCUGGGCAGAUCUUGGGAUUAGCGUUGAACCACAGGCAGCUGGUCAAUAUUUACUUCACACGAUCCUUCUACAAGCACAUUCUUGGUAUUCCUGUAAAUUACCAAGAUGUGGCAUCCAUUGAUCCAGAAUAUGCGAAAAAUUUGCAGUGGAUUUUAGAUAAUGAUAUAAGUGAUCUGGGUCUAGAACUAACUUUUUCUGUUGAGACUGAUGUGUUUGGAGCAAUGGAAGAGGUGCCUUUGAAACCUGGGGGUGGGAGUAUUCUUGUGACACAAAAUAAUAAAGCGGAGUACGUCCAGCUUGUUACUGAACUUCGAAUGACAAGAGCCAUUCAGCCUCAGAUCAAUGCUUUUUUACAGGGCUUUCAUAUGUUCAUUCCACCCUCCCUCAUACAGCUUUUUGAUGAAUAUGAAUUGGAGCUACUGCUUUCUGGCAUGCCAGAAAUUGAUGUGAGUGAUUGGAUAAAAAAUACAGAAUACACAAGUGGCUAUGAAAGAGAAGAUCCAGUUAUUCAGUGGUUCUGGGAAGUUGUAGAAGACAUUACUCAAGAGGAGAGAGUUCUUCUCUUACAGUUUGUUACUGGCAGUUCCAGGGUCCCACAUGGUGGGUUUGCUAAUAUCAUGGGUGGAAGUGGAUUGCAAAACUUUACAAUCGCUGCUGUGCCAUAUACUCCAAAUCUUUUACCAACUUCAAGCACAUGCAUCAACAUGCUGAAGUUACCUGAAUACCCAAGUAAAGAAAUACUCAAGGACAGACUUCUUGUGGCACUACAUUGUGGCAGCUAUGGUUACACAAUGGCAUAAUGAAGUCUGGAAAACUCAUCUGACUACUGAUGCACAAUUCAGAAUGGCAGAAGUAAUUUGGGAAAAUGUCAACAAAAAAGCAGCCUGACUGCAACCCAUAGGCAGGGCUGAUGCUUCCAAUUUAUAAAGGAUCAUCAGGUUUUCUGUUUCUCUCUUUUCCCUUUUUUGUUUUCUCUGUUUGUGAUACAAUUAGAAAAUAAAAAAUCACAGUAGAUUUUAUUUUUUAAAAUGCUAACUGAAAGUAAUAGAGACUGUCCUUUUUCAUAAUUAAUUUUAUCCAAGAUUGUAUUAAGGCAAAAUCUGAUUCUACAUUCCACCUCUGCUAUGUAACUGUCUUGUUAAAAGGGUGUUUUCUCCUAAUUUCUGAUAUAUUAUAUGAGGUCAUCCAGCUGCUAUGUUCUUUUGCAUGUAAACUGCCAUUUAUAUUUUAGAAAACUAUUGUAUAGAAUGGAUUAAGUUAGAUUAUCUAUAAAGCCACAAAUAUGUAUUUUCCCACAGUGUAUUCUAUAUUGCAAUGAUUUUUUUAGCAUUUUAAUAUUUUAAUAUAUAUUGUAAAAUUUAGACUGAUGAUACUAACAGUUGAUGAAAUGACAUCUAAUUUAUAUAUUAAAGCUUACGCUAUAUUGUAUGAAUUAUUUGCAUCUUUCAGUGGCCAGUUUUCCAUAUGUAUAUGUUAUGGUCUCAAUGUUUUUCUUAUGCCUCAUUUUAAUUUGUAAUGAAGGUAAAAUUAAAAUGUAUUUUACCACAUUUCUUUUCAUUACUUUUAUCUGUGAGCUCUGACACAUCUGAAAAAGUAAUCUGAUGUGCAAAUUAUAAUUUAAAUAUGUUAAUUUUUUUGCUUCUUAAAUUUGCUUUUCGUCAUUAAAAUGUCAAGUUCAAGUGAUAUGUGCCUAAUAUCACUUGGAUGUUGGGUUUUUGAAUUUUUGGGUGGUUAAUCAGUUUUAUUUUGAAAAGACGUACUUGAAUAGUUACAGCAUAUGUUUGAACAGAAAGUAGGAACAUGCAUACACGAAGAAAUGCUAACAGAAGGAUUUGUAAUGUUUAGGAUCUUCCCUUGGAAACUAAAAAUAGAAUAUUAAUGACAUUACUGUUUGUAGAAUGACAUAUGCAGAUUUUCUCAUAAGCAGUCAUUAUGUUAGUAAUGUUUGGGAGACAUGUAAGUUGAAAGUUUUGCUAAAUUAUAAAGCUCCUUUAAUUCAUUGGUUUUGGUUCUCUUGUUCUCUUGUCUUUUCUAAAUGUUAACAAAAUAUAUCUUAACAGAUUACAUGAAAUUUAGGGAUUAUUUAAAAGUUACCAUUAGCUCUAAAAUUAAGAUUCAGAUGCUUUAUUUAUAGUAACUGAAGCUAAUAAUGUUUUAUGUUUUGAUUUUUUGAAAUUUAAUUGUAGAAGUCACUGCCUUCUGAGUUUUCAAAUAGAUAACCACCUUUAAUAUUACACUGCUUAUAAUACUAAUGUUUACAGAUAUGUUUCUGUUUAUAACCAUACAAUACAUUGGCUUUGUCAUAUUAGUUUUUUUGCAAGUAGUUAUGUAAAAGAGAUAGAUAAUAAAAUAUUAAAUAACUG